CGGAUGGUGAAAUUGGUAGACACAAGGGACUUAAAAUCCCUCGGCCUUAUGGCUUUGCGGGUUCAAGUCCCGCUCCGGGUAUUA
rnacentral:tRNA from 3 species